rnacentral:rRNA from 1 species
AAUUGGAAAACAUAAAGCCUAAAAAGUAACGGAGGAGUCUAUUAAGUUUCUCUAGCCGCGAAUGGAAACCGUGGAGAUAGAGUAAUGUCAUAAGAGAGCUUAACUGCGAGGGGUACAUCCCAAGCAGAUGCGAAAGCAGAGCAUAGUGAACCGAUGGUACGCCUUAGAUGCGGCCAGAGAUUAACGGAUAUAAGUUACCCUGGGGAUAGGCCCUGACCUGCCCGCCGAUAAUUUGGCAGGCGGGAAUAAGGGCCCGUUGUCCUCCCGCGGAGUAAUCCGCGGAUAUAAGAACGGCUUAUAACGGUGAAAACCCAUUGCAAAAUGGAUAAUACCGUGGGAAGUCGGGAAUGAUAGUAUGAAGAAAAGAAUAUGCAAAAAAUUAGCCUUACAAGAAAUCAAAAAGCAAUUCUCGUGGGUACCCUCCUAGGCGACGGGUACUUGCAGAAGACUGGCGAGAAGAACGCGCGACUUCGAUUGGAGCACGGCGGUAAACAGAAGGAUUAUUUACUUUGGAAGAUGCACGCAUUUCCGCGACUCUUCCAAGGCAAAGCGACUCAUCUGUCUCGCAUGCAUCCUAAGUCGCUCGCGACGUACGAGUACUGGCGCGCGCAAUCAAGCUCGUCGCCGGUACUCGGAGCAUGGCGCAAACUGUUUUAUCCCGGUGGCAAAAAGCGAAUACCGGAGAAUCUUUCUGGGAUUCUCACGGAAUCGCUCGCGCUCGCCGUGUGGUAUAUGGACGACGGGUAUUACAACCCGAAGGACAAAAACAGCUUCUUGUAUCUUGGUAGAGUGUCUGAAGUAGAGGCACAUUGCGCGCAGAAUAUGCUUAAAAAGAAUUUUGAGCUAUCUGUGCGCGUGUACGAUAAAAAAAGUAAGGGCUUCGCGCUCUACUUCUCUACAGAAGAGACAAAAAAAUUGCAUAAACUAAUCAGGCGACACGUCGUGUUGCCAACAUUCGCUUACAAAUUAAGCGACAUUCCUUGACCCCGUAACGACUUGAUUCCUUAUUGGAAUCGGAGCGACCCGCCCUUUCUCAAAGAAAGAGAGGGUCGCUAAGACGCCGUCUCCCUCCCCAGUUUCAGAAACUGGGGAGGGGUGAAGAUAUAGUCUAUUCUUGAAAAAGAUUGAACAGGCUAGUUCCGCCCAAGCGUCCUUAGCGACGGCGGAGUUCGGCACCUCGAUGUCGGCUCACCAUAGCGCGGGGGUGGAGAAGCUCCCAAGCGUUUGGCUGUUCGCCAAUUAAAAUGGUACGCGAGCUGGGUUCAGACCGUCGAGCACCUUUGUACGUAAUUUGUACGUAUGAAGAUGCUAAAACACUCAAUAGUAAAUUAACGAUGGCUGUUAGUUUAACUGUAAAGGGUGCUCGACGGUCUGAAUCCACGAGGAAUUGUUAGGUACGUGGAGACGUACUGUGCGAAGACAUACUUACGGCGGUCGCGCGCAGGAAUACGCGCGAAGAAAUCAACUUAUAUCGGUAGAACCCCUCUCCAGUUUUGCAAUGCACAAAAACUGGGGAGGGACAAUACCGAGGGAAGCGAAAGCGAAGGCACCCGUAUCGAUUACGAUACUGUGCGCUCGCUCGGAGAAUAAGAAUAUGAGAUUACUCACGUUCUUAUUUCCUCGCUCGCGCCCGUAGAGACUGAAUGUUGAUUAUCCCACCUGCGAAUUGCAGAGGAUAAAGUUACAGUCCGAUCCCCGCAGUAAUGCGGGCAAACGUAGAUGCGUGAGACAGGUUGGUCUCCUAUCUACUAUGGGCGUUGAUUCUUGAGGAGGCUUGGUCCCAGUACGAGAGGACCGGACUGAACUGACCUCUGGUCUACCAGCUGUCCUGCCAAGGGCACCGCUGGGUAGC